CCUGGGGAGUACGGCCGCAAGGUUAAAACUCAAAUGAAUUGACGGGGGCCCGCACAAGCGGUGGAGCAUGUGGUUUAAUUCGAUGCAACGCGAAGAACCUUACCUGGUCUUGACAUCCACAGAACUUAGCAGAGAUGCUUUGGUGCCUUCGGGAACUGUGAGACAGGUGCUGCAUGGCUGUCGUCAGCUCGUGUUGUGAAAUGUUGGGUUAAGUCCCGCAACGAGCGCAACCCUUAUCCUUUGUUGCCAGCGGUUAGGCCGGGAAC
rnacentral:rRNA from 5 species